AUUCCCUAUUUUUCCAAUGUAGGAAGGAACCGGAAGUUUUCGGUUUGAAGAGAACAUGAAAUUUUGGGAAUUCUGAUUACUUCCUUUCCCUGUUAGCUCAAUUUUACUGACUUAGAACAUAGAACAGGAAUGGAAAAUUCAAAUACAAAAUCUAGGCAAUGGCUAAAACAGCAUUUUUAUUUUACAUUUUGAAAUGACAUAUUUAUGUCAGCAUUGUAUAUGUAUCAUAUGAGUAUAGGGUGAUAUUUAUUUAUUUAUGUUAAUAUUAUCAUAGAAAGAAAUUCAGACAUAUCAUUAUACCAUAAUUUAAUUCAAGAAAUUCAUUUAAUAUUGUUUUUUCUUAUAUAUUAUGCUCAAGCGAGUUUACAUUCAGAUGGUAUUUUAAAGGGAACCUAAAGUGUAUCAUGAAUCAGAUUUUCCGAAGCUGAACCUUUCGUACAACUGUUACUUGAAGUUUCUAGAUAUUAAUUUAGUAAAUGAUUUGAACUCUUUCGAUAUUCUUUUGUGCGAAAAUAUCCAUUGUAUGAAAUAGCACGGUCGAAGAAAAAUAUUUUACUCUAAGCAUAGUCGUGCAAGAAAAUACGUGACCAGUUCAAGGAAUCUGUUGAAGCCAGUAAUGACUUGAUCAAGGUAGUUAUACUACAAUAUUUCCACAAAUAUGUAAAACGGUUUCAAACUGUUUUGCCAAAACAAACCAGUUUAACAACAGUUUUCAAAAAUCAAAUCUAAUAUUUGACAUUAUGAACAAACCAGGUUAGCCACCUUAUGAACACCCCACAUCAGAAGUAUGGUAAACUCUUUUGAAUAAAAGAACUUGUGAUAGCAUCCAAGUCAUUUACUGAAGCCAGCCGGCUACCCCUCUCAAUUUUCUGAUUCUCCCUUUCAACAGUCGAUCUUUGCACCGUUCGGCUUUCUCCCCUUCCAAUCCAAAUCUUCCACCAUGUAGACCUUGACGAUGGUGGUGCGAUGAGAUUCUGUCAACCCAAAUCGUACAGAUUCUCUGCAUCACCGUUACUCUGCACAAAACUUCCGCCGUUGGCUUUCCUCGCUGCCGGAUUUCGGAAGUUUUGUCCGUACAACCCGUAAGCGGGUCUGUUCUCAACAGCUCCGCCUCCUUUCACGGCGGCGGCUGGUCAUGGUUCAUGAAUGGUUGUCCGCAGAUUUGUCGCGGUGGUUCAGUCUCAAAGGCGGUGGAUCUAAAAAAGAUAGUGUGGCUGCCUUCAGAGACACGCCAUGCUUCUGUUAAAUCAUACGACUCGUUAUGAGAGUUUGGUGUGCUCGAAUGGGCCGUUAUGCUUGUUGUGCUUUGUUCUUGCAGGGGCAGUUGGUCUGUGAAUCUGUCCGUGUUGGCGGUCGAUUCAUAUACCAUGAUUGAAAAGAUGGGUUUGGUGUUGUUCAGAUCUGUCUCCAGUUUGAUUAUGAUGCUCGCGACUUUUAGUGUUGGUUGGGUCAGGUUUUUCCCCCCUCAGUGUUGUACUGCUCCUCCAAGAUCAUGGACGUGCUUCGUAACAGGUCAUCUAGGCUAGAAAUGGUCAUGUACCUGUUGUCUGUUGUUGUUGUGAAUGGUGGGUGCGGAUGUUACCGUGUUGGCGGUGCUCGUGGUGCUCAGACUCGUUGAUUGACCAUCCCUCGAUCUGGCCUUCAAUUGGAUUUGAGUUGCUUUCUAUUGGAUUUGGGUAGAAAUGGCCGUGUAGUUUUCUGUCGCAACACAACGGGUUGUAGGCAUGGGGUUCUGUAUCCGUUGCGGUCGAAUCUCUCACCUUCACGAAGUUUGGCACUAUAUAUCUUGGGGGAGGUUUCAAAAUCCUCAUCAGUCUUUGAUGUUGGACUGUUUGGCUCGAAAGAGACGUUAUGCUUGUUUCUAUCGCAAGGAGUUGUUGGUUCUUGGAUCCAUUUCGUGUUCACGGUUGGUCCAUACACCGCACAUUAGACAAUCACCGGUGUUGUUUUUAUUUCUUUGUAUCACCCGAUUGGGUUGGUUUACACUUUGUAUGGAUUGACUAGGUUAGGUAUAUGUCCCCCAAUUCUUUUUUGUAUUUCUUUUUUCCUUUUUUUAAUAAUAUAUAUAUGAGCACCUGACCUAGACUGGAAUCUGCAAGACAUUCCAACUAUGUUGGACUGUCUUCUAUUCCUUUUUUUAUGCCUUUGGACUCUUGCCUUAUAAAAAAAAAACCACUUCUACCUAAACCCUAAAACUAGUCAAAUAAAGAGUAUAUUUUAAAUUUUCAGGACAUUUUCCAAACUAUGAUAUCAAGAUAAGGAUUGUAACUAUUUUAUAUGAAUAAUGUUCCACUUUUUUCAAUGCCUUCUAAAUUUAUUACAUAGGUUGAGUAAGGAUUGACCACAGAUUGCUUGAGUACUUGGAUGGAAGAAGUGAUCAGUUGAAAGUGUUGUCAAUUGCUUGCUCAUUGUUUCAAUUGGCUAUUUCAACUGUGGCAUCAGCUGUUUUGCGGUUAUGCGCGGUUUGGGGUGCUGUUUUUUGGAUGUUCGUGUCAUGGAAAUCGAGGCCUAACUCAUCCCUACAAAACCGGCUUGUACGGUGAGGAGUGUCUCCUCGUUAUAAACUCUUCUCAAGAAUCCUAUCUAUCCGAUGUGGGACUAAAUCCCACCCGAGUGUUGGCUGCUAACAGUUCGGGUGUGAGGCAGGGGUAUGCUUGUAGUCUGUUGCAUGUAUACUCCGGCAUCACUACUUGAUUCCAAGGCUUUUGGUGGGGUUUCAUCGAAUUUUGGUGUUCCGUAUAUAUGCGGCACCUCAUUGUACUUUUAUCCCUUUUUCUGCGAGUUUGCGGUAUUUCUUGCAUUUGCUCGUCAUGAAUAAAUUUGCCAUUUCAAAAAAAAAAAAAAAAUUUACACACCCACAAAAAUUAGUUGACAACAAUAAAUAAAUAAUGAAGUGGUAGAAUGGGGCACAUAAUAUACCUUGGUCUUCCUCUUUACCUUUUGGCGAUGUUUUAUGCAGUGUGUAAUGUUCGAUUAGUUUAGAGUCAUAAAAAAACAGAGUAAGCUGACUGAAUUAAAUUAUAAAAGUAACAGAACGUUGACACAGACACAAACACGACGCUGACACGGUAAUAAUUUGAGAAAAUGACAAAUUGGAUGGAAUCACAUGCGUAUGUAAUCAUAUGUUGCAAUUUGGAGCAGUACAAGAAGAUUCACUAUCUUCUUUAAUUGAAACGAAUCAACCUAUGCGUAAAUCAAUGGAUGAAUUUGGGCUAGUACCCGAUGAUGGUUUCUUGAGUAUGGAUAGUUUGCAAUUUGAGAACCAACAAUUGUCUACUUCUCAAAUGGUAUCAAAAUAAUUGGAAGCAAGUAAGGAUGCUAUUGAAAGAGUGUUCUAAAUUUAGUAGAUAAUAAUGUUAAGCAUGUUGAUUCGGCGUCCCAACAGUGAGAAAAGUAGAGUCCCUAGUAUGGUGGUUGAUGCAAUAUCCCAACAGGAUGAGAAAGAUCAUCCAAGUAACUUAUUAUGAAGGACUGCAGAAUUCUUGCGCUCAAGAUGGCAGCUAAUAGGUUAUUUACAAGAACGGGAUGAUAUCGUUCAAAAGAAAAGUUUAUUUUUGGCCCUCGAAGUUUCAAAAUGUUGCAAUUUUGAUCCCCUUUUAAAAAUGUUAACCCUUGGAGGCAAUUUGCGCAGAGUUACCCUCUUGAGGUGACCCAUCUUGUCACAAUUAAAGCACUUAAACUUUGACUUGUUACCACUUAUUCCCUGGUUACCUCUACCUCCACCAUUCCCUCUUGAAGCACUUAGACCAUCACUUAAUCAACUCUCAAGUCCUUGGACUCGGUCAACUCCUUGGUUCUCAAAGCCGCUUGAACUUCUUCCAAGGUGACGGUGCCUUCUAUGCCAUAGGGCAUGGUAUCAUUGAAAGAUUCAAAUGGUCUAAGUAGAGCACACAACAAGAGUAUAGUCUUGUCUUCAUCCUCAAGAUGCACCUCAAUGUUCUCCAAAUCAUUAAGGAUUUUGUUGAACUUCGUUAGUUGCUCUGUUAAGGUCUUUGACUCCACCAUUUUAAACGAGUAGAGUUGUUGCUUUAGGAAUUACAUAUGAGCUAAAGACUUAGUCAUAUACAAUGCCUCCAACUUAGUCAUAUAUAACCUUGUCCACUAUCUCGGUCUUCUCCGCUUAUGACAUGGUGACCACUAACACAUCUUCAACCUUGAAAGGAAAUAUAUUAACCCAACCGCACAAAUCUAAUGUAAAUCUAAAUCAAAAUCUAAAUAUAUUAACCCACAUUAAAAUAUAUAUCGACUAGCGCUGACAACGAAUCAAUCCAAUUCGAAAAUAGUUCGAAAUUCGAUUCGGUAAUUGUUUCGUUGAACUUGGUUCAUGAUCCAAUUGAGUAGAACUUGAGUUGAAAAUUAAGCUCGUCAAAUAAAUGAGCCGAACUUGAAUUACGUAUAAUUAGACUCGUUUGAUUCAUGAACCAACUAUAUAUAUAUAUAUAUAUAUAUAUAUAUAUAUAUAUAUAUAUAUAUAUAUAUAUAUAUAUAUAUAUCCUAAAUCAAUUACACUAAUUUUUAAAUGAAAUAUUAUUUUUAACAUUUUUCUUUGUCAAAGUUUUUUAUUACCACUUUAUUAACAAUAUAAAAUAAAAAUGUUCAACCGAGUAAAAAUAAUGGUAAUCCUCACCUAAAGUUUUUUAUAUAUCGAUAUAGCAAGUGGAGUAUAUAACAUAAUCCAUACACUUGAAAGUUUUAAGCUUGCUUGUUUAAAAAAAAAAAAUUAAGCUUGCAAUUUUAUGUCCCACAUCGAAAAUUUCGUGAAGAACGGAAAACAACUUAUCUAUAAAAAGAGGCGUGUACGGUAUCACCUACAAUUGGAAUGGAAUGACAAUAAUAUUAAUUAAUUAAUUUAAUUAAUAGUAUUUACCAUUUUACGUUAAUGGUUUUUUGACCAAUUACAAGGUUUGUGAGCUGUUUUUUGUGCCCUCAUAAAAACCAUAACCAUAGUUGUUUUUGUCCCUUGGUUCAUUUAAUUCGAGUCUAGUUAAUUUUUAUUGAGUCGAAUCGACUUAGCUCGAUUAAUUUUCAACUCUAGUUAUGUGAUUUGAGCAAACAUACUGAACUUAACGAGCCGAAGUUGAUGAACCUUAAACGAGUCGAACUCGAGCUGAAAAAAGAGUUCAUGUCGAACUCGAGUCGAGUUUCGAGCCGAGCAAAAUUUUAUCGAGCCGAGCUCAGAUAGGUUCGAUUUGAUUCGACUCAUUUUCAUCCCUAAUAUCGACACAUUAGUUGGGGGUUGUGACAUAUCUCUUCAUUAUUAAAGCAUGUUGCUCAAAGGGUUUCCCACACCUUAACCCACAUUUGAUUGGUUUUAAUUAAUAAGAAAAAUAGAAAUUCAUCUUCUAUUUUAUUUGGUUUUAUUACUGCCUAUUAGCAUUAGGAGAGGUCAUAACAUAUCUCUUCAUUAUUGUUGUGAAUUGGUUGCAAAAUUACACCAAUAAAAUUUGAUGUGUGGAACAAAUAAAUAAAGCAAUCAAAAUAAGUGGGUGACAAUAUAAUUCAAGCAAAAAUAAACAGCAAGAGAGAAGAAGAAAAAUACAAGAAUUUGUUUACCCAAUUCGGUCCAAUAUUGACUUACUCUUGGAGAGAGAGCAGCUCUACGUUCCACUAUAAUGAAGAGUUUCUUUACAAAGAGAUGUCAAAGGGUUACAAGAAUUAGUCUUCAAACCUAAUUCUAUCCCAACAAUGUUUUGUUCAAGGUGAAUCAAAACAAUCUCAGCCCUAGUGUUUGUUUCAAAGAGAAAACUCUAUAAACCCUAGUUUGUUGUUGGCUUCCAAACCUUGUUUUUCUGCUAAUUCUACUCAAUCUGAUAUUGGAUCUGAAUUAAUAGAGAAAUAAAACCCUCAAAAUUAGGAACAAAUCUCACGCUGAAAAUACAUUUUUAUUUUUCUCCUUCAGCGUAAAAUCAUGGCCCGAUUUUCGCAAAUCGUAGUCCGAUUUUUUAUGAAGCAAAACUCCCAAAACUGCACCAAAAAAUGUGGCCCAAUUUAUCCAAAUUGUGGCCUGAUUUUGGCAGAUAUUCUAAAUUUUGAGUCAAUUCUUAACAUUUCUCCACAUUGACUCUAAAUUAGUGAUGAUGUCAAUUUUACCGUCAAUCACUUUGUUGCUCUCUCUAUUUUAUUUUUCCCUUGCUUCCAACUACACCAAGUAGUUCCACAAGCUUCAACCCUUUGCUUCUUCAACCCUCGAAAUGGCUUCCGCCAUCUUAAAGAUCCUUGCAUCCAACUACACUAGGAUUUUAGGUAGUUUCACAAGUCAACAUCAAACCCUCUUCAACCACGGAACGUCUCCCGCUUCCUUGAAUAUCACCUUGCAUCCAAUCACCCUUGGUGUUUUAGGUAAUCACACAAGUCAUGCUAUACAUUCUUCAAACCUCAGAAUGACUUCCGUCCUCUUGAAGAAUUCACUUGCUCGCAACUAGAGCAUAACACCUAAGGUCUUAAUAGUUGUACCAUGCCCGGUGUCAUCAACUCCACAAGAUGAGAUUUCUCUACCUCAACAGGAAAUUGAGUACUUCCUCUAUGUGUUUAACCUUGCAACUCCACCUCAAAGGUUGAUCACGAGUCUUCUUGCAUCCGUCUCCCUAGGCUGAACUUGAGUAUUCUUCCCAUCGCCCCUCCAAGAUGAUGUUGAGUGUUUAAUGUCUCUCUAGACGACUAUCUCUCUACAAGGCAUCACUCCAAAGGUGAGAAAUAUCACCUUCUUCAUCUCCCCAACGAGACACCACCAAAGCACCUGUAACACCCCGUUUUUCCAAUAUACAAAUUUCUUAAAUCAUUUAUCAGAGUAAGCAUCAUAAGCAACGGGAUAUCACAUAUAACAUAAUCCAAAACAGUUAAAUAAUAAUUUAACUUUAACAAAUAUUUCAAACGUUGCAGCGGAAAUUAGUUCGUAAUCCAUAAAUCAUUUUGGCACGUAGGCCCCAUCAAAAUAUCUCAAAUGAGUUAAUUCAAUUUCACAAAACAUCAUAAUUGUUCAACAUCAUAAAACAUAAACAUGAUAGUCACGUAAGAGAAUGAAGCAUGCAAAUGACCCCAUCCCGUUACGUAUCAGAGCGACCUAGACGACACAAUGAAGGCAAGGCCACUCACGACGGCAACUGCACACUAAGCACGAUCACCUGCAAGUUACCCAUACGAAGGGUAACAUUUUCAAGCAGAAGAGGUGAGAUUUCAUAACAAAAUAAUGUUAAUCAAAGUAAUUCGAAUCAUAAUUAACAUUAACAUCAUAAUCAUUCUUAAAUAACUUUGCAUAUUCAAAUGACAAGUAUCACGUAUUCACAUAUUCAAUCGUCAUCAACAACAUAGCAUCAUGGACAUGACAAUGUGACAAUGCUCUUAGACUCCUUAUAUGCAUGUGGUACCAAUCGUCAUCAUAAGUAUUAAUAUACUUUAAUCAUGUGGAGGACAAAGCUCCUAUAAAUCGUGCGGAGGACAAAGCUCCUAAUAAUCGUGGUGAGGACUAAGCUCAAUGAAAUGCUAUGCAUGGACUCUUAUGAACAAAUCACCGUAAUCAACAUAUCAACAUGCAUCCAAUAAUUUGGAGCUAAACGUCAUCAUUUCAUCAUAUAAAUACACUAUGCACUUAGUUAAAUAACAGCAGCAGCAUAAACAAGUCACAUAACAGGAUGAUAUCAUUAUAUCAAUAGCACAUCAAUUAUAUCAUAGUUAAACCUUCAUAUCUUACUUAAUUGCACAAUACAUUAACCAUACUCAAUUAAAUUUCAACAUAUCUUAAACAGCCUUACAGACUGCAUUAAACGUCAUCAUUAGGUCUCAUUAUCAUAAGGGGGUUCACUCUUGAUCCAAACGUGCGACACAGAUCGCACAAACACUCAAGACACUCAAAACUGGAAGUGCUCGCGAGGCGAGAGUUCUUACUCGCCAUGGCGAGUACCAAACAAUUCCCAAACUAAAGUUGUUCUGGGUCCAAUCUUGUCCUACAUUCAUCCCUAAUCAUUACUAGGUAUGUUCAGACACUCAAAGGCACUCAAGGUCUAACUAAAAAGGUCGAAACACAAAAUCUAGCAUGCUCUCUACCUUAGCUCGCUAUGGCGAGUAAGGUUGCUCGCUAUUGCGAGCGAUACCAAAAGAACUCGCGAGGCGAAGGAAAAAGCUCACGUGGCGAGCGAUCACUACUACAAAAAUGGGCUUAUAUAGCGCUUUGUAAGCGCUACUGUAAAUGGCGCUAGUAAAGGUAAUAUAGCGCUUUUUUCUUGUAUAAAGCGCUAUCUAAAGCAUGGUUUAUAUAGCGCUUUUUAUCAAAAAACGCUAGCAAAGAUUCUCCUUAGAUAGCGCUUUCAAUAAUAAGCGCCAUGUAAAAGGGGUUUAAAAUAACGCAUACACUUGUAGAAAACAGCGUUUUUGUUUAAAAACGCUAUGUAACACUAGGUUUAGAUAGCACUUUAUACUGAAAAAAAAACGCUAGGAAAAGCAUUAAUUUUUUUUUGACAGAUUUUUUCUUAAUUUUUAAUUUUUUUUUUGUCAAAUUUUUUAAAAUUUUUACGGAUAGCAUUUUUUUAUUAAUUUAAAGUAAUAUAUAUAUAUAUAUAUAUAUAUAUAUAUAUAUAUAUAUAUAUAUAUAUACAUUUAUAUAUAUAACUUUUCUAAGGGGAAAUAUAUAUAUUUUUGGCAUAUUAAAAUUGAGACUAUUAUUUAUCAAAUAAAACUUAAACACAUCACAAAAAAAUUAUGUAUAUAUAGCAUAAAAGUCAGAAAUGUAUAGCCACUAAUAUGGUAACAUAGAUAUCUCUAAGUUACAACUAAUUAGUUAACAUAAAGAUCAAAAAUCUUCUAUGGUAGCAUGCAGACUUGAUAAAUCUUCUUGAUCGUCUCAACAUUGUUAUCCAAAAUAAGCAGGCGAAUCAUUAUUCAUUUCCAAAUACAGUUAACUUUCUCCACCUGAAUAUAUAGCAAAAAACACCAUUAAACAAUAAACAAUAACACUAUAUUAUAUUAGAGGGAAAUUCAAAAUACUACUCAUCGUUUCUCUAUUUUCAUUCAUCUAUAUCUUUCUCUCUAUGCAAUUAGAAAUAUAUAUACAAUACACAAAGCAUAGUUAAUUCUAGCUUAGAUUUUUUUUUUAACAAGCAAAAAUGAGAUAUAUUAACACGGACACCGUAAUUGUUACCGCACAAGGUGUGCCAAAACAAUCACGGAAAAUGUCAAGGUCCAAACAAAAUUACAACCAAAUCAGUCAAUACCCAGACAUGAAAGCGGGUUCGAUCAUCAAUGAUGAGUACCAAAACUAAAUACAGCAUUGCAAGCUUUUAACCACCACAAAGAAGUUGAUUAAAGAUAAUGGCUAUUUAGUCAUAUUAAAGAUAUGAUAUACAUACUGUGUGCUCAUAAUUCAAUGAUGUGUGAAGCUGACACAUAUUAAGAUAUGAUAACUAUACUUUUCCCUACCUUAAAAAAAAACUAUACCUUUUGCUUAGUUGGAGGGUUAUUUCAUUAAUAAUCACAUAAUUAAUUUGUUUCUUUCCUGUGCAGAUGUUUCUCUUCCCACUAAAUUUGGAUAGUAACAAAUAUAGCUAGUUCCCUAGUUGUAGAACACAAUUUAUAAUUGACGUGUUAGGUGUGGCCAAUAAGUGAAAACUAAUGAAGAUAUAGUACCAAGUUACUAACCAUCUUUUGGUUUUGUGGCACGUGUGCUAACAGUACUGUAACUGAUAUGUGCAUACAACAAAAAAAAGGGGUGAAAAGGGGACUGAAUUGUCAUACAUAAACGAAUGAAGAAACCUAACAAUGAGAAGAGAAAAACCUCUAUUGUGGCAGCAAGGACAAAUACUACGUACUAGAGUUAAAUUGAAAUGGUUCCAACGACCUGUUCAAAUUUCAAUCUAAUAUCUACUUGACAAUUCAGGUUAACUCAUGAUCACAAGAGAAAAAUCUGCAUGCUAAUAAAGAAGCUACUAAUAUAAAUACUUUGCUUUGGCAUCAAGAAGUCAAGAGAGAUACAACAACAUAUUAUAUAAUAGCUAUAAUUUAAAACCUUUUUAUUUUUAUUUUUAUAAUAAGCUAUAAUAUAAAACCUAUUACUUAUCAAGCUAUAAUAUAAUAAACUGCAACUUAAAACAACUUAAAACAUGUAUUCUAAAUUCAAAUCAUUUAGUCCUAAUUUGAAAUCACUAAAAACAGAGACCCCAAGACAUGUUUGAUUUCAAUGUCAUUAAUAAAUAGUUAAUUGCAGUAAGAAUUGAUAGAGAACAUGCUUUCAAUUUUACCACAAUAUAAGAGUUUGCAGAGUAACGACAAAGACAAAUUAAAACCAAUUAAAGGACUGAAUACAUUGAAUUGAAGAUUACAAUAGAAGACUAAUCACAGUGCAUGAUCAAGACAUUUACCUAAGAAUAAGAUACGACUUUGUCCUCUUCAACAAAAGGACAGGAGAUUGCGGUUUGUGAUUUCCAACUGCAAAUACAAUUGCAUUAGUCACACUUAUUUGUAAUUUUCUACAAUAUAUCAAUAAUCACAACACCAACUAAAUUGAAGAAAAAUACCAAAUGGGUUAGUUUUAUUCCAUCUACGCAAACGUCAGACUAACCUGAUAAGAGGAGGCUUCGACGAGGGAAUGAAACCAAUAACAACGACGAUGGCUUGACGGCGGUGGCCAGAGACAUUGAGAUUAGCGUGAGAAGUGAUGAGCAUAGGGAAUCAAUCAGAGAAGAUGGGUUUGAGGGGUUUGACGGUUGAAUCGAUGGGUUUGGGGGAAACCAGUCAUGAACCAACCAACCAUAAAAGCAAUCGAUGAGAAAGAUUCAAAGAGGUAAUCAAUGGGCUUUUAGGGAGGAAUCAAUGGUCGGCGAUUGAUGGUUUGCACAAAUGGGUAGGCGAUCAGAUUCAAAGAGGAGAUGGGUUAAUUUGUUUGAUUUCACAAGAGAAUUUGGAAUUAAUAUUGGGGAACGUGAAGAAAGGAGUAGUUUAAUUUAAAUUAAAAAAAGUUUAUAAUUCAUUUAGGGAAGAAAAAAACGAAAAAUAUUAGAGAGGGGAUCGAACAAGGGACCAAGAGCUUGUUGGUGGUUGUUGUAUGCCACUUUGAAAAUCAAUUUAUUUCAUAAGUAGCGCUUUUUUUAAAUCAAUAAACGCUAUGUUUGUAGUAUCAACUAUAGCGCUUUAAAAGCGCUGUUUAAAAGUGAAUCAUAAAUAGCGCUUUCUAUAUUAAGCGCUAUCUAAGGUUAAUUGUUCAAUUAUUUUAUAUUUAAUAUUUUUUUAAGAAUUCUACGUUAGCGCUUUUGACACAAAACGCUAUAAUCAGUUUGCCUCAUAAAUAGCGUUUUUUUAUAAAAGCGCUAUCUAAGCCCUCCGUGUUUCCUUAUAUAGCGCUUUAGUGUUAUAAGCGCUGCUAAAUGAGCGCUAUUUUUUCCCCAUUUUGUAGUAGUGGAUGAAGAUCAUCACUCGCGAGGCGAGGUUCAUAGCUCGCCGUGGCGAGCGAUGAAUGUCGCUAUGAUCAGGCUUCCUAUUUUCACAAAAAUCCGACGAUUCUCAGGGUUCUAAGCUUAGUAUUGAUUCCAAAGUUUGUCCUAAACAUUAUCUAAGGUCCAAGAACACUUUCUACACCAAUUUAAUCAAUUCCUACCGUUUAAUCAUCAACUUUAGGGAUUUGACCUAGUUUUCGUUUUCUCCAAUUCAAUCCUAAUUCUUGCUAACUAAUCAUCAGAAUUACAUUCAAUUAACAAUACAGAGUUAUUAGUCUCACCCUUACCUUUAAUUGCAGAAAAUCGCAGCUCUCCCUCUUGGUUUCUCUUCUCUUGGCUUUUCUCCCUUUUUCUCCAACAACGUACGUACAACAAUGUUUUUCUAAAACUAGGUCUAACUCUUUUAUAUCUCCUCUUAAUUACUUAUCUUAUCUCACUUUCUCCCCCAAAACUAUCUAAAAUAUCAAAACAACCCUCAACUAAAUAUUUUAUAUUAUUCUCAAAUCUUUAUUUUAUUUCAUAAUAAAAUAAAUCCCUUAAUCUUAUCAAAUCUUCAAAAACUCAUAACUUAUCACAAUAUCAACCAAACCAUCAAUAUAGUUGUAAAUCAUUCAAAUCAUAUCAAAAUCAUGCAUAUAUUAUAUAAAUAUAAUAUAAUCGCCUAAACUCGAUUAAAUAAGCAAUUAACAAAAGUGGGCGUUACAGCACCCGUAUCCUCAUAAUAACCCUCGGAGACAAUUUGCGCAGAGUUACCAUUAUUCUCCGGGUAAUCCUUCUUGAAGUGACCCAUCUUGGGACAACUAAAGCACUUAAACUUUGACUUGUUACCACUCUUUCUCCGGUUACCUCUACCUCCACCAUUCCCUCUUGAAGCACUUAGACCUUCACCGUUUUCAUCAGCUCUCAAGUCCUUGGACUGUGUUAACUCCUUGGUUCUCAAAGCCGCUUGAACUUUUUCCAAGGUGGCAGUUCCUUCUUUGCCAUAGACCAUGGUAUCUUUGAAGGAUUCAAAUGAUCGUGGUAUAGCACACAACAAAAGUAUAGCCAUGUCUUUAUCCUCAAGAUGCGCCUCAAUGUUCUCUAAAUCAUCAAGGAUUUUGUUGAACUCUGUUGGUUGCUCUGCUACGGUCUUUGACUCCACCAUCUUAAAUGAGUAAAGUUCUUGCUUUAGGAAUUGCCUAUGAACCAUAGACUUAGUCAUAUACAAUAACUCCAACUUUGACCACCUCGAUGUCGUGGUAGGUUCCUUCGCGACAUCCUGAAAACUUUAUCCUUGAGGCACAAGACAAUGACACUUCUAGCUUUGUCCACCAUCUUGGUCUUCUCCGUUUGUGACAUGGUGUCCGAUAACACACCAUCACCCUUUAAAGAAAAUAUAUGACCUGACAAUGUCCUUUUAAUAAAAAAUUAUAUAUUUAGUUAAAAGAAAUAAGAAAUAAUGUAUUAACCCAACCCAGAAAUCGAAAUAUAUUAAAGAAAAUAUAUUAAUUCACAUUAAAGGCAAAUAUAAUAAAGGAAAUAUAUUAACCCACAUUAAAAUAUAUAUCAACACAUUAGUUGGGUUAUAACAUAUCUCUUCAUUCCUUAAAAAAAAUAAACAUAUAUCUUCAUUAUUAAAGCAUGUUUAUCAGAGGGUUUCCCACAUGUUAACCCACAUUUGAUUGGUUUUAAUUAAUAAGGAAAAAAAUAGAAUUCUUCUUCUCUUUUAUAAUUGGUUUCAUUGCUGCUUAUUAGUAUUAGGAGAGGUCAUGAAUUUUUGGGAAUUCUGAUUAUUUCCUUUCCCUGUUAGCUCAAUUUUACUGACUUAGAACGUAGAACAGGAAUGGAUAAUUCAAAUACAAAAUCUAGGCAAUGGCUAAACAGCAUUUUUAUUUUUCAUUUUGAAAUGACAUAUUUAUGUCAGCAUUGUAUAUGUAUCAUAUGAGUAUAGGGUGAUAUUUAUUUAUUUAUGUUAAUAUUAUCAUAGAAAGUGAUUCAGACCAAUCAU
rnacentral:lncRNA from 1 species